CCUACGGGUGGCAGCAGUGGGGAAUAUUGCACAAUGGGGGAAACCCUGAUGCAGCGACGCCGCGUGAGUGAAGAAGUAAUUCGUUAUGUAAAGCUCUAUCAGCAGGGAAGAAAAUGACGGUACCUGAGAACGAAGCCCCGGCUAACUACGUGCCAGCAGCCGCGGUAAUACGGAGGGGGCAAGCGUUAUCCGGAUUUACUGGGUGUAACGGGAACGUAGACGGCAGUGCAAGUCUGGUGUGAAAGGCGGGGGCUCAACCCCAGGACUGCACCGGAAACUGUACGGCUGGAGUGCAGGAGAGGGAGGUGGAAUUCCUAGUGUAGCGGUGAAAUGCGUAGAUAUGAGGAGGAACACCAGUGGCGAAGGCGGCUUACUGGACAAUAACUGACGUUGAGGCUCGAAAGCGUGGGGAGCAAACAGGAUUAGAUACCCGAGUAGUC
rnacentral:rRNA from 1 species